rnacentral:rRNA from 1 species
AGUGAGCGGCAAAGCUCAAUUUGAAAUCUGGUACCUUCGGUGCCCGAGUUGUAAUUUGGAGAGGGCAACUUUGGGGCCGUUCCUUGUCUAUGUUCCUUGGAACAGGACGUCAUAGAGGGUGAGAAUCCCGUGUGGCGAGGAGUGCGGUUCUUUGUAAAGUGCCUUCGAAGAGUCGAGUUGUUUGGGAAUA